AACAAGAAGACUUAUCCCAUCUAGUUUGGGUCACGUAUUUAGGAAUCUUAUAAUAUCAUUGGUCCAUAUCCAAGCCAAGCUGUCUGAAAUGAUGAAGUCAUUUCUCAUAUGAAAAAUUAAACCCAUGAGUAUAGCAACCUAACAUAAUAAACAGUCAAGUAAUCAAACUCCAAGAACCUUGUUGUAUGUUAUGUGCCAGCAAUCAAGCAAUUUGUGAUUCAUGAUAAUACAUGAGUUAGAUUACUCAUAGAAAAUUAAACUACUAUUCGAGGAAAGAACUCACAUGCUAGCAUGGACAGGCAGAGUUGGAAGUUGACAUUUUUCCUUGAAAUGAUAGUUAUCAGCAGCACAGAAAUGUGGAACAGUAGUAAGCAUAUCAACCAAGGUUCCUACAGAUGCAUCAAACUAUAAGGCAUAUCACCUCAAUAUGUUGGAAAUCAAUGUGUU
rnacentral:lncRNA from 1 species